rnacentral:lncRNA from 1 species
CCUCACCCUCCUCUGGCGGCAGCCGCCCUCCCCACGCCUGCCCCAUCCACUGCCACCAACCUGUGUCCGUUUCUCCCCCAGACGCCCUGGGAUCUGUUCCUCCUCCGCUCCCGGAGCCCUCCCCGGGUCUGGCCUCCGCGGCUCCCGCCGCCCGGGGUUUUCCUCACGUUGUGAUGUGAGGCCGGCCUCGCAGCGUGGAGGCCUGACCUGAAAUCAGAGCUGACGACUGUUCCUUCCCGCCGCGGGUUCCCGCCGCCGCCGGACGAGCCUCCCGGGAGCCGGUGACGAGCUGCCCGGAGCGCCCUGGCGGCCCCUGCGGGGACGUGGCUGAGGACGCGCCUCUCACCUCCCGCGCCGGAAGCCGGAGGAGCAGAAAACGCAGCCAUCGAGGGGCUGUUAGGGGAAGGCCGCCUGCCACAGAAGCGAGCUCUGCAUCACUCCAGCAGAAAGGGAAUUUCCUGAAAGGACACUGGGCACCUCACAAGGUCAAGAGGAAGGCUCGUGGUCAGAUUGCAUUUCCGCGUCGCUGGAAGUCAGAAGCAGCCAUGUGACUUGCAUAAGUCAAUGAAGUGUGAGCAGAAGUGACAGAUGCCAUGUUCUUUCUCCUGCCCAGAGAUCAGCAAUGUUCAGGCAGUCGAGGCUCUGUCGGCCAGGAUCCUCAAGGGAAAUUACACGGAGUAAAGCUGCCAGCACCCGGGAACAGACACGCAGUAUGAGUGAGGUUGAAGCCACAGAGACCUUGGCAUUGUUACCACAGCACAACCAAACUUACCCUGACUGACACAGUUAUUUAUUUUAAAAACUAAGAUUUGAAUUAGGCCAGGCAUGGUGGCUCACACCUGUAAUCCUAGCACUUUGGGAGGCCGAGGCGGGCAGGUCACCUGAGGUCAGGAGUUCGAGACCAGCUUAACCAACAUGGUGAAACCCCAUUGCUACUAAAAAUACAAAAAUUAGCCAGGCAUGGUGGCACGUACCUAUAAUCUGAGCUACUCGGGAGGCUCGGGCAGGAGAAUUGAUUGAACCCUGGAGGCCAAGGCUGCAGUGAGCCGAGAUCAUGCCACGGCACUCCAGCCUGGGCGACAGAGCAGGACUCCAUCUCAAAAAAUAAUAAUAAUAAUAAUAAUAAGACUUGAAUUAAAAAUAAAAACACAGGAAUUAGUCUGUAUCCAGCCAGGGGAGAGAAGUCACAGCGUAGGGGGGUCACCUCGUCUUGCUGCACUUUGCUUUAUUGCUCUUCCUAGAUACUGCAAUUUUCCGAGUUGAAGGUUCGUGGCUACCUUGCACUGAACAAGUCCAUCAGGGCCAUUUUUCCAACAGCACGUGCUCACUUCCUGUCUCUGUCACGUUUUGCUAAUCCUCCCAAUAUUUCACGCUUUUUCCUUAUUAUUAUAUCUGUUAUGGUGAUCUGUGAUCAGUGAUGGUUCAAGUGACUAUUGCACUUGCUUUGGGCACCAGGAACCGUGCCCAUGUAAGACAGUGAACUGAAUCCAUAUGGGUGUGCUCUGACUGCUCCACCCACCAGCCAUUUCCUGUUUCUCUCCCUCUCCUCCAGCCUUCCUAUUCUCUGAAACACAACAAUAUUGAAAUUAGACCUAUUAAUAACCCUACAAUGGCCUCUAGGUGUCCAAGUGAAAGGAAGCGCCAUGCAUCUGUCACUUUAAAUCGAAAGCUAGAAAUGAUUAACCUAGAGAGGAAGGCUGCUGAAAGCCUUCUUUCAUCUUAAAAGGUUGUUUUUCUCCUUCCAAUUUGGAGAGAACUUAAAACAUUUCCAUGAGCCCCUAGAAGCACUCUGGGCCCUAGGCACUGUGCCUACUGCACCUGUAGACAGGUCAGCACUGCCCGGUGGGCAGGGUUAAGAUGACUUGCUUGGCCAGGCUGCAGCCACCUGCUCACCUGGAGCCUAAGGAGGUGAGGUUCACCCAACCACAUGAGCCGAGAGUGGGAGAGAGGGGUCCACAAGAAAAACCCAGGGUCUUUCUCCAAAGAAGGCAGGAUGUGGAAAGGUCCCACGCAGGCAAACCACAGAUGACCCCAGGCCCGAUGCAGCUGAGGCUGAGGUUGCAGUCCUCAGCGGGUCACCCCAUUCUCAGAUCCACACUUUUCUGGGGCCAGGCCUGAGGCUAAGCCGCGCGGGGGUGAGAGAACUGGGAGCAGGGGGAAGGGCAGGCAGAGCACUAACCCCUAGGACCUCUUUCCCUGGAGAGGCAGCAGUUUGAGAAUAAAACCCAGAGGCCUUUCUGACAAUGGUGGCUGAUAGCAGACCUGGCUGAAGCCAUUCGUUCUUUCUUUGAGUCAACUUUCAUUAAGUGUUAAAACCUUUGAUCUUACUUAAUGGCAAAAAGACCUGCAGACCACACAGUGCUUUGACACAGAGGGGACGAAGACACGCCACGUUGCACGGCAUGUAGAGUCUCCCUGGACUUCGAAUUCGAUGCCUUGUCACUAUGCAUCCCUUACCCUUCCCUUUUAACUAAUAGUUGUCAUAUGUGUUAUAUCUGUAUAUAUGGCAGACUCCAUCAAACAAUGUUAUCAUUUUCUCCUUUAGCAGCCAUUCGUAUCUUUAAAGAAUUUAAGAGGAGAAAAAUAGUCUGGUAUAUUUAC